rnacentral:rRNA from 1 species
UACGAAGGGGCUAGCGUUGUUCGGAAUUACUGGGCGUAAAGCGUGCGCAGGCGGCUUCUCAAGUCAGGGGUGAAACGCCCAGAGCUCAACUCUGGAAUUGCCUUUGAGACUGAGUGGCUUGAGUACGAGAGAGGUGAGUGGAAUUCCCAGUGUAGAGGUAGAAAUUCGUAGAUAUUGGGAAGAACACCGGUGGCGAAAGCGGCGCACUGGACCAUAACUGACGGCUGAUGCGCGAAAGCUAGGGGAGCAAACAGG